AGAGCGAACGCUGGCGGCAGGCUUAACACAUGCAAGUCGAGCGGGCGUAGCAAUACGUCAGCGGCAGACGGGUGAGUAACGCGUGGGAACGUACCUUUUGGUUCGGAACAACACAGGGAAACUUGUGCUAAUACCGGAUAAGCCCUUACGGGAAAGAUUUAUCGCCAAAGAUCGGCCCGCGUCUGAUUAGCUAGUUGGUGGGGUAAUGGCCUACCAAGGCGACAAUCCGUAGCUGGUCUGAGAGGACGACCAGCCACACCGGAACUGAGACACGGUCCGGACUCCUACGGGAGGCAGCAGUGGGGAAUAUUGGACAAUGGGGGAAACCCUGAUCCAGCGACGCCGCGUGUGUGAAGAAGGCCUGCGGGUUGUAAAGCACUUUUAGUGGGGACAAAAAGCUACGGAUUAAUACUCUGUGGUCUUGAUUUAACCCAAAGAAAAGCACCGGCUAACUCUGCGCCAGCAGCCGC
rnacentral:rRNA from 1 species